UAUGGCCAUGCCAGGUUGAAACACUGGUCCUCAUACGAUCACUGAAGUUAAGCGUGGUCAGCACUUAGAUGGGUGACCACUUGGGAAUGUCACUG